rnacentral:rRNA from 1 species
UACAGAGGGGGCAAGCGUUGUUCGGAAUUACUGGGCGUAAAGGGCGCGUAGGCGGCCUGUUAAGUCGAACGUGAAAUCCCCGGGCUCAACCCGGGAACUGCGUCCGAUACUGGCAGGCUUGAAUCCGGGAGAGGGAUGCGGAAUUCCAGGUGUAGCGGCGAAAUGCGUAGAUAAUCUGGAGGAACACCGGUGGCGAAGGCGGCAUCCUGGACCGGCAUUGACGCUGAGGCGCGAAAGCCGGGAGCAAACGGG